CGUGUAGGUGGCUAAUUAAGUCAGGUGUGAAAUCCUUCCGCUUAACGGGAGAAGUGCACUUGAAACUGCUUAGCUAGAGUACGGGAGAGGAAGGUGGAAUUCCUGGUGUAGAGGUGAAAUUCAUAGAUAUCGGGAAGAACACCGGUGGCGAAGGCGGCCUUCUGGCCCGAUACUGACGCUGAGACGCGAAAGCGUGGGGAGCAAACAGGAUUAGAUACCCUGGUAGUCCACGCCGUAAACGUUGGGCACUAGGUGUGGGAGGUUUUUAUUCCUUCUUUGCCGAAGCUAACGCAUUAAGUGCCCCGCUGGGGAGUACGGUCGCAAGGCUAAA
rnacentral:rRNA from 1 species